rnacentral:rRNA from 1 species
CCGUUCAAUACUGCGGAGCUCGAGGGCAGAAGAGGGGGGUGGAAUUGCUGGUGUAGUGGUGAAAUGCGUAGAUAUCAGCAGGAACACCUGUGGCGAAAGCGGCCCCCUGGUCUGCUCCUGACACUCAGACGCGAAAGCUAGGGGAGUGAACGGGAUUAGAAACCCCGGUAAUCCUAGCCGUAAACGAUGGAUGCUAGGUGUGGGUGGUAUUGACCCCAUCCGUGCCGAAGCCAACGCGUUAAGCAUCCCGCCUGGGGACUACGGCCGCAAGGUUAAAACUCAAAGGAAUUGACGGGGACCCGCACAAGCAGCGGAGUGUGUGGUUUAAUUCGAUGCUACACGAAGAACCUUACCCAGGUUUGACAUGCAGGUAGUAGUGAAGCGAAAGCGGAACGAUCCUUCGGGAAGCCUGCACAGGUGCUGCAUGGCUGUCGUCAGCUCGUGCCGUGAGGUGUUUGGUUAAGUCCACUAACGAGCGCAACCCCUGUCGUCAGUUACAUGUGUCUGGCGAGACUGCCGGUCUUAAACCGGAGGAAGGUGGGGAUGACGUCAAGUCAGCAUGGCCUUUAUAUCUGGG